UAUGAUUUUGUAAUUAAACUUUGGUUGGAUGAGCCAAAGGUGAGCAAAAUAAUUUGGCGCUGUGCAUUUCCAUAAUGCCCUGUCGCUUUUGGAUUUUAAAUCAGUGGAAUUCACCAGAUUGUUUUAUAAUAAUUUUAUAUUAAAAUACACGUAAAUCUUAUAAUGAUAUAAAACAAAAACAUUUUUUUUUCUUCAUUUUAAGAGAUGGCAGAGCGGUUAGGUAGUAAAAACGAAAAAAAUUAAGAUACUGAUAUAAUAUGUUGAAUUACCUACGCCAUUAUGGAUUUUCGCAGAUGUUCGAGGAAAGUUUGAGAAGAAUAUCCCUUGCAGUUUUUUUCGUUGCAAUUUUGGGAUCAGUAACUGCACAGUCCUCUCCUGAAAAUAUAUUAAAUGGAGGAGAUGUGUCUAUAAAUUUAGGUGAAGUGGAACCCCGAGACAGCGGCGCAGACUUAGACUUUCACUACCACGAUCACGAUCAGCUAACACGGUACCUACGAGCCGUGUCGGCUAAGUACCCCGCUCUGACUGCUCUUUAUUCUAUCGGAAAGUCUGUUCAAGGUCGCGACCUUUGGGUGAUGGUUGUGUCUGCAUCUCCAUACGAGCACAUGAUAGGAAAGCCAGAUGUCAAAUAUGUCGCAAACAUUCACGGUAACGAAGCAGUCGGGCGAGAGCUGCUGUUGCAUCUUAUACAGUACUUAGUGACGUCAUACGAUACCGAUCCAUACAUCAAAUGGUUGCUGGACAAUACACGAAUUCAUCUGAUGCCAUCCAUGAAUCCGGACGGUUUCGCAAUCUCUAAAGAGGGACAAUGCGACACCAUCCAUGGCAGGCAUAAUGCACGUCGAUACGACUUAAACCGGAAUUUCCCAGACUUCUUCAAAGUGAACACUAAGCAAAUCCAGCCGGAGACUGAAGCCGUGAAAGAAUGGAUCAGCAAAAUACAGUUCGUGCUGUCCGGGUCGCUGCACGGAGGCGCGCUCGUUGCAUCUUACCCCUUCGACAACACACCCAAUGCUAAUCUCCUAAAUACAGUAUUCCAAACGUACGCACACUCUCCAUCGAUUUCGCCGGAUGACGAUGUGUUCCGGCAUCUAUCGCUGGUGUACUCCAACAAUCACGCCAAGAUGUCAAGAGGUGUCUCCUGCAAGUCCGGCUCGCCGAGAUUUGAAAAUGGCAUCACUAAUGGCGCUGCAUGGUAUCCACUUACUGGUGGAAUGCAAGACUAUAACUACCUUUGGCAUGGAUGUAUGGAAAUUACUUUGGAAAUAUCUUGCUGCAAAUACCCACCUGCGCACGAGCUGCCUAAGUAUUGGCAAGAUAAUAAACAGUCCCUCAUUAAAUACUUGGCCGAAGUGCACCGCGGCGCUCAUGGAUUUGUAAUGGACGAGAAUGGCAACCCAGUAGAGCGUGCCGCGAUCAGAGUUAAAGGUCGUGACGUCUCGUAUCACACAACCAAGUAUGGCGAAUUCUGGCGUAUCCUGCUGCCGGGAACUUACCGUGUGGACAUAUCUGCGGAAGGUUAUUUGCCACAAGAAGUUGAAUUCAUAGUUAUCGACAAUCACCCCACACUUCUGAACAUCACUUUACAUUCUGCCAAAGAAUCCGGACUCAACCAUUCCACAGUGAAGAUUCUUGACCCUGUGACAACAUCCACGACAAAGCCUGGCAAUGAUGGAACUAUAAUUUUCCCUGAAGAUUAGUUCCGGUGUGACUCAAACACAGUAGAAGAAAUCAUUAGAUUUGAUGUAUAAUACUCAGAUCUCACAGUAAUUAUCGAAUAGACGGCGGGCCGUAUUACAGACCACUGCCUGCGCCACCGAGAGUCCCGCUCACCGCCACUCCGGCGCCAGGAAUUUUCACUUCUCUUACUAACUCCUUCAGUA
rnacentral:misc_RNA from 1 species